rnacentral:rRNA from 1 species
CCUACGGGUGGCAGCAGUCGAGAAUCAUUCACAAUGGGGGAAACCCUGAUGCAGCGACGCCGCGUGGGGGAAUGAAGGUCUUCGGAUUGUAAACUCCUGUCAUGUGGGAGCAAAUUAAAAAGAUAGUACCACAAGAGGAAGAGACUGCUAACUCUGUGCCAGCAGCCGCGGUAAUACAGAGGUCUCAAGCGUUGUCCGGAAUCACUGGGCAUAAAGCGUGCGGAGGCUGGUUGGUCAGUCAGGUGUGAAAGUCGCGGGCUCAACCCGCGGACUGCACAUGAUACUGCGAGACUAGAGUACUGGAGAGGGAAGCGGAAUUCUCGGUGUAGCGGUGAAAUGCGUAGAUAUCGAGAAGAACCCUGGUGGCGAAGGCAGGUUACUGGACACCAACUGACGCUGAGGCACGAAGGUGAGGGGAGCGAACAGGAUUAGAUACCCUUGUAGUC